CCGGCACGGGUGAGUAACACGUAUCCAACCUGCCGUCUACUCUUGACAGCCUUCUGAAAGGAAAGAUUAAUACAAGAUGGCAUCAUGAGUUCACAUGUUCACAUGAUUAAAGGUAUUCCGGUAGACGAUGGGGAUGCGUUCCAUUAGAUAGUAGGCGGGGUAACGGCCCACCUAGUCUUCGAUGGAUAGGGGUUCUGAGAGGAAGGUCCCCCACAUUGGAACUGAGACACGGUCCAA
rnacentral:rRNA from 1 species